CUGCUAUGUUCUCUUCUUUCCCUGACAAGCUCACCAGUGGAUCCACAAAGCUGUCGCUGCACUCCAAGAUGACACACUCACGGAGCUGAACAGUGCUACGCUCUUGUUGGGGAGAUCCGGACUCAGAGCUCUUAAGUCUGUAUAUUCUGAAGACUUUAUAUUCAGCUCACUAGUGAAGAAGGGAUACUGCAUUGGAAAGAUGAAAUUGGCUAUGAUUCCCUAAAAACAUCUGCUCCCAGCCUGGAAGAGCAUAUUUGCAACAUGCCAGGCAGGGCCACACAGGGACAGCCCUCAGGAGCAGAGCGAACCUGCGGGAGUUACAGGAAGCAGCAGUACUAAGAAGA